CGAGUGCCUGCUGGAAAAGGACAGGAGCCGAGUGGGCCAGUACGUGCGCCAGGCCCUGCCGUACCUGGAGAGCCCAGAGGAGCCCCUGCGAAAGCUGGCCAUCAAGUUCCUGGGGAUCGCCGCCAGGUCCAUGAAGCAGGAGCAGCCAGAGCUGCAGCUCAUCUGCCAGGCCCUUCAAGGCAUGACUGAUGACAGCCCUGCCGUUUCAAACCUGGCACUUCAAACGCUCCACAUCAUCAGAGCUGUACGGAGAACUCCAUUCUUCCCAUUCUGGUAGUCUCCAUUCCUGCCUCUUCCAGCCCGUAGAGGCAUGACAGGUGACAUCAGACUCGCCAUGGCAGGCCUGGCAAUUCAACACUGCUACGUGCAAAGAGCUGUACAGACGGCUCCCUACUCCAGAUUCCAGCAGCUCCAAGACUGACUGUGCAGGGCGUGGAAGAC